CCAAGCCAGCAUGAAAGGCAUUGGUGCUGGACCCAGGUAAGUGACAGAAGGGGUUUUUAACCCCUUCUGCACCACAAGGGGGGUGCGCUUGACAGAGGUGGAAGCUAUAGUGCCAGGAUAACAAGUUUUUUUCUGGCACUAUAGUUUCCCUUUAAUGCCUACUCAGUGCGUCUCUUCAUUGUAAUUGAGAGUUUAGUGAAUAAACAUCUAAAGGGCAUGUAGUUGCAUUCAUGAG